rnacentral:lncRNA from 1 species
AUGUCUACAUUUUUAAAAUGUAAGUUAUGUAAGUUAUUUGCCUUUUCCUCACAGACCCUGUACUGGUGUGCAAACAGCCCUCUCAGAUUCAGAUUACACAGAAGCUGGACUGCAAGAAGAGAGGGCAAAUUGCAAAAGAGGUGUUUGACAAAUGAAAAAUACAAAAAAGACAAAACAUAUCCUUUGAGAGUUUCUCCACAGCUCAGUCACCCCAGCAUAGUGGAUGUAUCCACCCUGCAUCUCAUGAAUAUGGCCAGGACACAAAGGCUGAGCUCAGUCCUCUGAUGCUGGCUGUUCGAUGAGGCAGCAUCGAGUGUCACAGACCCUCUCCAUGCUGCCUGUGUGACCUCACUCCUCCUCCUCAACCUCCUCCUCUUACAGUCCUACAGCACCAAAAAAUGCAGGGCUGGAAAGAGGAGCACCCUCUGUGUGAACUGAAAAACACCAGUGGCAUAAAUAUUGACAAAGAGUGACUAUUGGGGCAGGUUCACUGCCCUCAAAGCUAAGGAGGAACAAGAUGUGCUCUCAAGAGAAGCAUCUGUGCCCGCUGACCCUGAGCCAUGCAGAGGCACCAGGAGGAAACAGCGAGUGAAUGACAACAGCGGGUGACUCUCUGCUUCCAGGGAUAGAUAGACCCAGAUGUCAGUCUGACCUGCUCUCUAGACAAUUUUGCUCUUUGCUCACUGAGAACUUAUCAGAGAGGAUUAAGGAGUAGACAAUGUGGGUGACAAGGUAGUGAGUGUCUGCUGUGCAUCCCCUGACCAGGAAGGACCAGUGCAUGAGGCUUUCCAUGGGCAGCCAGAAGCAGCCUCCCAUCUACAGACUCUGGUCCUCACGGGGCAUUUUACCACCCUGAUACCUGCUGGAAUGGCAUAAGCAGCAGCAUAGGACCUGGAGCUCCUGGGGGGAUACCAUGAGUCAAUGUGGGAUCUCAGCACCUCAGGACUGAGGUGCCGAGUCACCGAGACCACCCUUGGGGGGCUCGGGAGUCCUGGGAUGUUGCCAGAAGUGUCUGGUGGCUGCACUUUGAUCCUACACAGGAGACGACACCUGUAUGAGGAUAGGAGGGUUUCACCGGGGUGAAUGGUGAAGGGAUUAGUUAGUUAGAGGGUGAGACACAGGGUUUAGGAUUUCUGUACA